GUGGGGAAUCUUAGACAAUGGGGGAAACCCUGAUCUAGCCAUGCCGCGUGAGCGAUGAUGGCCUUAGGGUUGUAAAGCUCUUUCAGCUGGGAAGAUAAUGACGGUACCAGCAGAAGAAGCCCCGGCUAACUCCGUGCCAGCAGCCGCGGUAAUACGGAGGGGGCUAGCGUUGUUCGGAAUUACUGGGCGUAAAGCGCACGUAGGCGGAUCAGAAAGUCAGAGGUGAAAUCCCAGGGCUCAACCUUGGAACUGCCUUUGAAACUCCUGGUCUUGAGGUCGAGAGAGGUGAGUGGAAUUCCGAGUGUAGAGGAGAAAUUCGUGGAUAUUCGGAGGAACACCAGUGGCGAAGGCGGCUCACUGGCUCGAUACUGACGCUGAGGUGCGAAAGCGUGGGGAGCAAACAGGAUUAGAAACCCCUGUAGUCC
rnacentral:rRNA from 1 species